GACGAACGCUGGCGGCAUGCCUAACACAUGCAAGUCGAACGGAAGUAUGGGCUUCGGCCCAUGCCUUAGUGGCGAACGGGUGAGUAACACGUGAGCAACCUGCCCCGUACUACGGGAUAACACUAAGAAAUUAGUGCUAAUACGGUAUAUGACCACACCGAGGCAUCUCGGAGGGGUAAAAGCGUUUAGCGGUACGGGAUGGGCUCGCGGCCAAUUAGCUAGUUGGUGAGGUAACGGCCCACCAAGGCGACGAUUGGUAGCCGACUUGAGAGAGUGAUCGGCCACACUGGAACUGAGACACGGUCCAGACUCCUACGGGAGGCAGCAGUGGGGAAUAUUGGGCAAUGGAGGAAACUCUUACCCAGCAAUGCCGCGUGAGUGAAGAAGGUCUUCGGAUUGUAAAGCUCUUUGAUUGGGGACGAAGUUAAUGACGGUACCCAAGGAACAAGCCCCGGCUAACUAUGUGCCAGCAGCCCGGUAAAGUCACGUCG
rnacentral:rRNA from 1 species